AAACUUUACAAUGCGGGAAACCGUGAUAAGGGGACACCGAGUGCUAGCAUCAUAUGCUGGCUGUCCAGGUGUACACCUGUAGCAAGGGCCGGCAAGACCGGUGCCAGCCGCCGCGGUAACACCGGCAGCUCUAGUGGUAGCCAUUUUUAUUGGGCCUAAAGCGUUCGUAGCCGGUUUGAUAAGUCUCUGGUGAAAUCCUAUAGCUUAACUGUGGGAAUGCCGGAGAUACUACAAAGCUAGGGAGCGGGAGAGGCAGACGGUAUUCGGUGGUAGGGUAAAAUCCUCUAAUCAUUGAGGGACCACCAGUGGCGAAGGCGUCUUACCAGAACGGUUCGACGGUGAGGGACGAAAGCUGGGGGCACGAACCGGAUUAGAUACCCGGGUAGUCCCAGCCGUAACGAUGCUCGCUAGGUGUCAGGUGGUGCCGCAGGGAA
rnacentral:rRNA from 1 species